UACGGGGGGAGCAAGCGUUGUUCGGAUUUAUUGGGCGUAAAGAGCUCGUAGGCGGCUUGUCGCGUCGACCGUGAAAACUUGGGGCUCAACCCCAAGCCUGCGGUCGAUACGGGCAGGCUCGAGUUCGGUAGGGGAGACUGGAAUUCCUGGUGUAGCGGUGAAAUGCGCAGAUAUCAGGAGGAACACCAAUAGCGAAGGCAGCUCGCUGGGACGUUACUGACACUGAGGCGCGAAAGCGUGGGGAGCGAACAGG
rnacentral:rRNA from 1 species